GAUGAACGCUGGCGGCGUGCCUAAUACAUGCAAGUCGAGCGAACGGACGAGAAGCUUGCUUUUCUGAUGUUAGCGGCGGACGGGUGAGUAACACGUGGAUAACCUACCUAUAAGACUGGGAUAACUUCGGGAAACCGGAGCUAAUACCGGAUAAUAUUUUGAACCGCAUGGUUCAAAAGUGAAAGACGGUUUUGCUGUCACUUAUAGAUGGACCCGCGCUGCAUUAGCUAGUUGGUAAGGUAACGGCUUACCAAGGCAACGAUGCAUAGCCGACCUGAGAGGGUGAUCGGCCACACUGGAACUGAGACACGGUCCAGACUCCUACGGGAGGCAGCAGUAGGGAAUCUUCCGCAAUGGGCGAAAGCCUAACGGAGCAACGCCGCGUGAGUGAUGAAGGUCUUCGGAUCGUAAAACUCUGUUAUUAGGGAAGAACAUAUGUGUAAGUAACUGUGCACAUCUUGACGGUACCUAAUCAGAAAGCCACGGCUAACUACGUG
rnacentral:rRNA from 1 species